ensembl:snoRNA
CCCGCCACUGUACCUGUCUUGUAAUGCAGUGACUUGUAUAGUCCAGAGGUGAGCUGAGAGAAAAUGCCAACCUAGGAAACAGAGUUAUUCUUUUUCUUGUGGGUAACUCUGUGCCGAAGGCUGGGAACAGCA